rnacentral:tRNA from 1 species
GGGUACAGAGCUCAGUGGUAGAGCACGUGCUUAGCAUGCAUGAGGACAUGGGUUCAGUCCCCAGCGCCUCCA